GGAGGGAGUAUUACCUACUGAAUCAAUAAACAGUUGGUUAUUCUUGUCAAGAAGAAAACAAUUGGCUGCUAAACAGAUGACGAAGAUUUAUGUACUGCACAUUUAUUUUGGCCAUGAAGACACGGGCUAGUUCAUUCCCUCUCUCAAUCUAUUUUAUGAAGACUUGAUCUCCCUCCACUUGAGCAAGUUCUAAGGCUAAUCAAGCGCAUUGUAUCAUGCCACUUUUUUU
rnacentral:lncRNA from 1 species